rnacentral:rRNA from 1 species
GCUUAGCCGUAAACAAUUAAUUUACACUAACAAACGCCAGGGAACUACGAGCCAUGCUUAAAACCCAAAGGACUUGACGGUGUCCCAUUCCCCCUAGAGGAGCCUGUUCUAUAAUCGAUGACCCCCGCUAUACCUAACCAUUCCUCGCUUUAUCAGCCUGUAUACCUCCGUCAUAAGCUUACCAUGUCAACGUUAACAGUAAGCCCAAUGGUUAACCUAAACCAACAUGUCAGGUCAAGGUGCAGCUUACGAAAUGGAAAGUAAUGGGCUACAAUUUCUAACAUAUGAACAAACGGAGACUAUGUGAAACCAUAGCAUGAAGGUGGAUUUAGUAGUAAAAAGAAAAUAGAGUGUUCUUUUUAAUGUUGGUUCUGGGACGCGUACACACCGCC